GACGAACGCUGGCGGCGUGCUUAACACAUGCAAGUCGAACGGAAAGGCCCUGCCUUUGUUGGGUGCUCGAGUGGCGAACGGGUGAGUAACACGUGAGUAACCUGCCCUUGACUUUGGGAUAACUUCAGGAAACUGGGGCUAAUACCGGAUAGGAGCUCCUGCUGCAUGGUGGGGGGUGGAGAGUUUCGGCGGUUGGGGAUGGACUCGCGGCUUAUCAGCUUGUUGGUGGGGUAGUGGCUUACCAAGGCUUUGACGGGUCGCCGGCCUGGGAGGGUGACCGGCCACAUUGGGACUGAGAUACGGCCCAGACUCCUACGGGAGGCAGCAGUGGGGAAUAUUGCACAAUGGGCGGAAGCCUGAUGCAGCAACGCCGCGGGCGGGAUGACGGCUUUCGGGUUGUAAACCGCUUUCGCCGGUGACGAAGCGUGAGUGACGGUAAUGGGUAAAGAAGCACCGGCUAACUACGUG
rnacentral:rRNA from 1 species